rnacentral:rRNA from 1 species
UACGGGGGGGCAAGCGUUGUUCGGAAUUACUGGGCGUAAAGCGCGUGUAGGCGGGUCUUUAAGUCAGGGGUGAAAUGCCAAGGCUCAACCUUGGAACUGCCUUUGAUACUGGAGAUCUUGAGUCCGGGAGAGGUGAGUGGAACUGCGAGUGUAGAGGUGAAAUUCGUAGAUAUUCGCAAGAACACCAGUGGCGAAGGCGGCUCACUGGCCCGGAACUGACGCUGAGACGCGAAAGCGUGGGGAGCAAACAGG